UUAAAUGGCCGCAGUAAUUUGACUGUGCAAAGGUAGCAUAAUCAAUAGUUUUUUAAUUGAAAGCUUGUAUGAAGGGUUGGACGAAAUAAUAUCUGUCUUUAUUUAAUAAUUAUUAAAAUUUAAUUUUUAAGUUAAAAAGCUUAAAUAAUUAUAAAAGACGAGAAGACCCUAUAAAGCUUUAUGAGUUUAAUUUUAUAAAUAUUUUAGAUUUUUUAUUUUUAUAAUUUUUAAUUUAUUUUAUUGGGGUAAUAGAAAGAUUUAAUUAAUUCUUUUUUAUAUUUUUAUUUAUUUAUAUUUUUAAUGAUCCAUUAUUAAUGAUUAUAAGAUUAAGUUACUUUAGGGAUAACAGCGUAAUUUUUUUAGAGAGUUCAUAUUGAUAAAAAAGUUUGCGACCUCGAUGUUGGAUUAAAGAUUAAUUUAGGUGCAAAAGUUUAAAUUUUUGGUCUGUUCGACCAUUAAAUCUUUACAUGAUCUGAGUUCAGACCGGUUUAAGCCAGGUCGGUUUCUAUCUUUAUUAAAUUAAAAUAUUUUAGUACGAAAGGACCAAAUAUUAAUUAUAAUAAUUAUAUUUUGAAUAAUAAUAAUUAUUUUGGCAGAUUAGUGCAAUGAAUUUAGAAUUCUUUUAUGUAAAUUUUAUUUACAAAUAAUACUUGUUUAUAAUAGAUAGAAUUUUUUUAUUUAUUAAUAUUUUAUUAUUAAUUAUUUGUGUAUUAGUUAGUGUAGCUUUUUUAACGUUAUUAGAACGAAA
rnacentral:rRNA from 1 species